rnacentral:rRNA from 1 species
GCGAGGCAGAGCGAACCCCAAAAAGCCGUCCCAGUUCGGAUCGCAGGCUGCAACCCGCCUGCGUGAAGUCGGGAUCGCUAGUAAUCGCGGAUCAGCAUGCCGCGGUGAAUACGUUCCCGGGCCUUGUACACACCGCCCGUCACACCAUGAGAGUCGGGAACACCCGAAGUCCGUAGCCUAACCGCAAGGGGGGCGCGGCCGAAGGUGGGUUCGAUAAUUGGGGUGAAGUCGUAACAAGGUACC